rnacentral:rRNA from 1 species
AGUCGAGCGAGAAUUCUUUAGUUGAUCUUUCGGGUGAUUCUAAAGAAGGACAGCGGCGGACGGGUGAGUAACGCGUAGGCAACCUGUCCCAUACAUUGGGAUAUUCCUGUGAAACAAGGGUGUAAUACCGAAUAACACUUUGGAAUGGCAUCUUUUCAAAGUCAAAACUCCGGUGGUAUGGGAUGGGCCUGCGUCUGAUUAGCUAGUUGGUAAGGCAAUGGCUUACCAAGGCGACGAUCAGUAGCCGACCUGAGAGGGUGAUCGGCCACACUGGAACUGAGACACGGUCCAGACUCCUACGGGAGGCAGCAGUGGGGAAUAUUGCACAAUGGGCGAAAGCCUGAUGCAGCAACGCCGCGUGAGUGAUGAAGGCUUUCGGGUCGUAAAACUCUGUCCUAAAGGAAGAAUAAUGACGGUACUUUAGGAGGAAGCCCCGGCUAACUACGUGCCAGCAGCCGCGGUAAUACGUAGGGGGCAAGCGUUAUCCGGAUUUACUGGGCGUAAAGGGUGUGUAGGCGGUUAUGCAA